GGACCGUGAUUGAGGACCCCUGCCAUACAUAAUGAGACCCAUUUAAUUAAAUUCUCAGUGUCAGGGGGGCCACAGUCCACACCACUAACAUCUUCUGAAGGCAGGAAUCAAACCAGGACAGGACAGAAGUCCAUCACAGGUUGUUUUCGAUAAACUGGCCAACCUCUACCUCUCUGAUACCAGACACCACAAAAGCAAAGAUUACUUCUCCA